AUACCUUUCUCAGCCUUUCGGCUAAGAUCAAGUGUAGUAUCUGUUCUUAUCAGUUUAAUAUCUGAUAUGCAGGUCAUCGACUAACAUGAUAUGAACUCAAUUUUUUAAAGGGGAAGAGCUCAUUAAGGUAGCUUGUUGCCUGGGCUCUUGUGCGUUGCACUACUUCACGGGCCUGGCGCACCCUAC
rnacentral:snRNA from 2 species